GCCCCUUCGGGGGUAGUGGCAGACGGGUGAGUAACGCGUGGGAACCUUCCCUGUGGUACGGAAUAACUCAGAGAAAUUUGAGCUAAUACCGUAUACGCCCUUCGGGGGAAAGAUUUAUCGCCAUAGGAUGGGCCCGCGUCGGAUUAGCUUGUUGGUGAGGUAAUGGCUCACCAAGGCGACGAUCCGUAGCUGGUCUUAGAGGAUGAUCAGCCACACUGGGACUGAGACACGGCCCAGACUCCUACGGGAGGCAGCAGUGGGGAAUAUUGGACAAUGGGCGCAAGCCUGAUCCAGCCAUGCCGCGUGAGUGACGAAGGCCUUAGGGUUGUAAAGCUCUUUUGGCGGGGACGAUAAUGACGGUACCCGCAGAAUAAGCCCCGGCUAACUUCGUGCCAGCAGCCGCGGUAAUACGAAGGGGGC
rnacentral:rRNA from 1 species